CACCGCGGUUAUACGGGGGGCCCAAGUUGAUAGUUACCGGCGUAAAGCGUGGUUAAGCAAAAAUUAAAACUAAAGCCGAAUGCACACAAAGCUGUUAUACGCCUCUUCGAAAACAGAAGCUCAAUUACGAAAGUAGCUUUACAUCAGCUGACCCCACGAAAGCUAGGGCA
rnacentral:rRNA from 1 species